UGAAGCCCCCUCAAGAUGAGAUUUCCCAACUUCGGUUAUAAGAUCCCUCAAAGAUGAUGAGGUUAAUAGGUUCGAGGUGGAAGCAUGGUGACAUGUGGAGCUGACGAAUACUAAUCGAUCGAAGACUUAAUCAAAUU
rnacentral:rRNA from 1 species